AUCAGCCCCCUCUCUGAGCGCCUCGCCCCGCCCCUAUGGCCCGAAGGAGCAUAGGAUGAGAACUAUCCCGGGGACCAAUCAGCGUGCGCGCCCGGCAUGGACGAGCCCCCCUCUCUGCACCCAAUCACCUGCGACCGCGUCCUACAAAACAUCCGGCCAGCACCGCCCAAACCCCCAGGUGCCCUGACUCUUGCGCUCCCACCUGGUGAUGACCGACAGAGCGCUGACAGGCACGUCCAGGGCAUGGCUGCUCCCCCGCGCCCCGCCCUCCCCAAACAUCUCUGACGGACGGUUGGCUGCAGCCCAGGAAGCACCGUCGCGCCGCGGCCUGCAUCCCAGCCCCGCCCCUCCGAGC